rnacentral:rRNA from 1 species
AGAGUUCGAUUAUGGCUCAGGAUGAACGCUGGCGGCGUGCUUAACACAUGCAAGUCGAACGAAGCACUUUAUUUGAUUUCUUCGGAAUGAAGAUUUUGUGACUGAGUGGCGGACGGGUGAGUAACGCGUGGGUAACCUGCCUCAUACAGGGGGAUAACAGUUGGAAACGACUGCUAAUACCGCAUAAGCGCACAGGGUCGCAUGACCUGGUGUGAAAAACUCCGGUGGUAUGAGAUGGACUCGCGUCUGAUUAGCUAGUUGGUAAGGUAACGGCUUACCAAGGCGACGAUCAGUAGCCGGACUGAGAGGUUGAUCGGCCACAUUGGGACUGAGACACGGCCCAG